rnacentral:rRNA from 1 species
AACCCGGCUGCACGAAGCCGGAAUCGCUAGUAAUCGCAGAUCAGCAUGCUGCGGUGAAUACGUUCCCGGGUCUUGUACACACCGCCCGUCACACCAUGGGAGCCGGGAAUGCCCGAAGUCAGCGGCCCAACCGAAAGGAGGGAGCUGCCGAAGGCAGGCCUGGUGACUGGGGUGAAGUCGUAACAAGGUACC